rnacentral:rRNA from 1 species
GACGAACGCUGGCGGCGUGCUUAACACAUGCAAGUCGAACGGAAAGGCCCUGCUUUUGUGGGGUUCUCGAGUGGCGAACGGGUGAGUAACACGUGAGUAACCUGCCCUUGACUUUCUGAUAACUCUAGGGAAAUGCGGCUAAUACCGGAUAGGAGCUUCUGCUCCAUGUUGGGCGUUGGAAAGUUUCGGUCGUUGGGGAUAGACUCGCAGGUUACCAGCUUCUUGGGGUGGUAGUGACUUACCAAGCGUUUGACGGCUAGCCGGCCUGAGAGGGUGAACGGCGACAUGGGGACUAAGAUACGGCGCAGACUCCUACGGGAGGCAGCAGUGGGGAGUAUUACACAAUGAGCGGGAGCGUGAGACAGCGACGCCGCGUGCGGGAUGACGGCCUUCGGGUUAUGAACCGAUGUCGCCUGUGACGAAGCGUGAGUGACGGUAAUGGGUAAAGAAGCACCGGCUAACUACGUG